UGCAGUCGAGCGGAUGACGGGAGCUUGCUCCUUGAUUCAGCGGCGGACGGGUGAGUAAUGCCUAGGAAUCUGCCUGGUAGUGGGGGACAACGUUUCGAAAGGAACGCUAAUACCGCAUACGUCCUACGGGAGAAAGCAGGGGACCUUCGGGCCUUGCGCUAUCAGAUGAGCCUAGGUCGGAUUAGCUAGUUGGUGGGGUAAUGGCUCACCAAGGCGACGAUCCGUAACUGGUCUGAGAGGAUGAUCAGUCACACUGGAACUGAGACACGGUCCAGACUCCUACGGGAGGCAGCAGUGGGGAAUAUUGGACAAUGGGCGAAAGCCUGAUCCAGCCAUGCCGCGUGUGUGAAGAAGGUCUUCGGAUUGUAAAGCACUUUAAGUUGGGAGGAAGGGCAGUAAGCUAAUACCUUGCUGUUUUGACGUUACCGACAGAAUAAGCACCGGCUAACUCUGUGCCAGCAGCCGCGGUAAUACAGAGGGUGCAAGCGUUAAUCGGAAUUACUGGGCGUAAAGCGCGCGUAGGUGGUUCGUUAAGUUGGAUGUGAAAGCCCCGGGCUCAACCUGGGAACUGCAUCCAAAACUGGCGAGCUAUAGUACGGUAGAGGGUGGUGGAAUUUCCUGUGUAGCGGGUGAAAUGCGUAGAUAUAGGAAGGAACACCAGUGGCGAACGCGACCACCUGGACUGAUGCUGACACUGAGGUGCGAAAGCGUGGGGAGCAAACAGGAUGAGAUACCCUGGUAGUCCACGCCGUAACAAUAUCAACUACCCGUUUGUAAUCCUUGAAAUUUUAUUGGCGCACUCACCAAUAAAUUUGACCGCCUGGGUAGUACGGCCGCCACGCUAAGACUCACAUGAGUUUACUGGGGCCCGGCACAAGCAGAUGAGCAUGUGGU
rnacentral:rRNA from 1 species